GGACUACAGGGGUUUCUAAUCCCGUUUGCUCCCCUGGCUUUCGCGCCUCAGCGUCAGAAGAGGUCCAGUCCGCCGCUUUCGCCACCGGCGUUCCUUCCGAUAUCUACGCAUUUCACCGCUCCACCGGAAGUUCCGCAGACCCCUACCUCCCUCGAGGCCACCAGUAUCAAAGGCACUUUUCCGGUUGAGCCGAAAGAUUUCACCCCUGACUUGGUGGCCCGCCUACGCGCCCUUUAAGCCCAGUGAUUCCGAAUAACGUUCGCACGGUUCGUCUUACCGCGGCUGCUGGCAC
rnacentral:rRNA from 1 species